rnacentral:rRNA from 1 species
UACGGAGGGUGCAAGCGUUAUCCGGAUUCACUGGGUUUAAAGGGUGCGUAGGCGGGCAGGUAAGUCAGUGGUGAAAUCUCCGAGCUUAACUCGGAAACUGCCAUUGAUACUAUAGGUCUUGAAUUAUCUGGAGGUAAGCGGAAUAUGUCAUGUAGCGGUGAAAUGCUUAGAUAUGACAUAGAACACCAAUUGCGAAGGCAGCUUACUACGGAUCGAUUGACACUGAGGCACGAAAGCGUGGGGAGCAAACAGG